GUGCUUGCUUUGGCGGUACUCGUACUGAAAUCAGAAUGAUACAGAAGAGUUUUGCAUGGCCCUUUCCCAAGAAUGACACAAAUAAGUGAAGUGCUCCAUAUUGUC
ensembl:snRNA U6 U6 spliceosomal RNA